GACGAACGCUGGCGGCGUGCUUAACACAUGCCAGUCGAACGGAAAGGCCCUGCUUUUGUGGGGUGCUCGAGUGGCGAACGGGUGAGUAACACGUGAGUAACCUGCCCUUGACUUUGGGAUAACUUCAGGAAACCGGGGCUAAUACCGGAUAGGAGCUCCUGCUGCAUGGUGGGGGUUGGAAAGUUUCGGCGGUUGGGGAUGGACUCGCGGCUUAUCAGCUUGUUGGUGGGGUAGUGGCUUACCAAGGCUUUGACGGGUAGCCGGCCUGAGAGGGUGACCGGCCACAUUGGGACUGAGAUACGGCCCAGACUCCUACGGGAGGCAGCAGUGGGGAAUAUUGCACAAUGGGCGGAAGCCUGAUGCAGCAACGCCGCGUGCGGGAUGACGGCCUUCGGGUUGUAAACCGCUUUCGCCUGUGACGAAGCGUGAGUGACGGUAAUGGGUAAAGAAGCACCGGCUAACUACGUG
rnacentral:rRNA from 1 species